rnacentral:rRNA from 1 species
AUGGCUCAGGAUGAACGCUGGCGGCGUGCUUAACACAUGCAAGUCGAACGAAGCAACUAUCUUGCUUGCAAGAGAGUUGACUUAGUGGCGGACGGGUGAGUAACGCGUGGGUAACCUGCCUCAUACAGGGGGAUAACAGUUGGAAACGACUGCUAAGACCGCAUAACCCGCUAGUGUCGCAUGACACGGACGGAAAAUAUUUAUAGGUAUGAGAUGGGCCCGCGUCUGAUUAGCUAGUUGGUAAGGUAACGGCUUACCAAGGCGACGAUCAGUAGCCGACUUGAGAGAGUGAUCGGCCACAUUGGGACUGAGACACGGCCCAAACUCCUACGGGAGGCAGCAGUGGGGAAUAUUGGACAAUGGGGGAAACCCUGAUCCAGCCGACGCCGCGUGAGUGAAGAAGUAUUUCGGUAUGUAAAGCUCUAUCAGCAGGGAAGAUAAUGACAGUACCUGACUAAGAAGCCCCGGCUAACUACGUGCCAGCCGCCGC